CAGCCGCCGCGGUAAUACGUAGGGUGCGAGCGUUAAUCGGAUUUACUGGGCGUAAAGCGUGCGCAGGCGGCCCGUUAAGACAGGUGUGAAAUCCCUGGGCUCAACCUAGGAAUUGCGCUUGUGACUGGCGGGCUCGAGUACGGUAGAGGGGGGUGGAAUUCCUGGUGUAGCAGUGAAAUGCGUAGAGACCAGGAGGAACACCGAUGGCGAAGGCAGCCCCCUGGGCCUGUACUGACGCUCAUGCACGAAAGCGUGGGGAGCAAACAGGAUUAGAUACCCUGGUAGUCCACGCCCUAAACGAUGGGUACUGGCCGUUUGGUGCGCGAUAGCGCUGAGUGGCGAAGCUAACGCGUGAAGUACCCCGCCUGGGGAGUACGGCCGCAAGGUUGAAACUUAAAGGAAUUGGCGGG
rnacentral:rRNA from 1 species